rnacentral:rRNA from 1 species
UAAUCGCAGAUCAGCAUGCUGCGGUGAAUACGUUCCCGGGCCUUGUACACACCGCCCGUCACACCAUGAGAGUUGGGAAUACCCGAAGCCUGUGAGCUAACUGUAAAGAGGCAGCAGUCGAAGGUAGAAUCAAUGAUUGGGGUGAAGUCGUAACAAGGUACC